UACGUAGGGGGCAAGCGUUGUCCGGAAUCAUUGGGCGUAAAGAGCGCGUAGGCGGCCCGGUAAGUCCGCUGUGAAAGUCAAAGGCUCAACCUUUGAAUGUCAGCGGAUACUGCCGGGCUAGAGUCCGGAAGAGGCGAGUGGAACUCCUGGUGUAGCGGUGGAAUGCGCAGAUAUCAGGAAGAACACCAACGGCGAAGGCAGCUCGCUGGGACGGAACUGACGCUGAGGCGCGAAAGCGUGGGGAGCGAACAGG
rnacentral:rRNA from 2 species